UGCAUUCACUACUGUAAGUCGCUCUGGAUAAGAGCAUCUGCUAAAUGACUCAAA
rfam:Salmo salar isolate Sally breed double haploid chromosome ssa17, whole genome shotgun sequence.